CACAGGUAGUAGAAGGGCAGCCUCUCCUUUAAGUCCUGUCCACUCAGGAUCCAAAAACGGUCUUGAAGAGACAGAGGGAGAGGUGGAAACACAUUAAGGGAAAAGAAGAAAUCCUAUGCGAAUUCCUCAUCUAAAGGCACCCUGAAGAUGAGGUCGUCGUCCGCAGGGACCGGGUCGUGCCGGCGCUGGUGAAGGUUCAUCCUUCAGUCACAAUAUUCUAGGAUUAUAAAGGAACAGAAGCAAGGAAAGGUGGAAGUUGACUCAACAGAUGAUUGAGAUAUUGAAGUUAACAGGCAGAGAGAGUCCCACGGAGCAUACCUAAUUUGCGAAAUUGUUCGCUGGGUGUGAUGUUGAAAACUGGAGGCUGAGGGAGAGCUCUAUCAUGUUUUGUUUUGUGUGAAUAAAAGAAAAUGAGGAAGAAGCGGAGAUACAGAGAGGGGAAUAAUAGGCUGGAUGCUGAAAAGCGAUCGUAGGGUCUGGCCCUGGAUGUCAGAUUUUGGAGAAAGAGAAGACAUUGAUGAGCAUCUCCAGGGAAGGACUUCGUUGGAAAGAGCAGACACUUAAGGCUAUUUUAUGACGUUUUCCAUUCGUUUAUAUGUACUUCUCCUUUCCCAUCGUUGUAGGUAAGGCACAGGUGAGCUUGAUUCGUUCGUUGCUUUUUGGAAUGCAUGCUUAAACAAAAGUGACUUCCACACUUCAAAUA